UUCCACGCCGUAAACGAUGAUGGCUAACCGCCGGCGACACACUGUCGGUGGCCAAGCGAAGCGAUAAGCCAUCCACCUGGGAGUACGUCGGCAACGAUGAAACUCAAAGGAAUUGACGGGGCCCGCACAAGCGGAGGAACAUGUGGUUUAAUUCGAUGAUACGCGAGGAACCUUACCCGGGCUCGAACGGCACCUGGAUCAUCCAGAGAUGGUUGAGUCUUCGGACAGGUGUCGAGGUGCUGCAUGGUUGUCGU
rnacentral:rRNA from 1 species